CGCGACCCCAGGUCAGG
rnacentral:rRNA from 43 species